UGCAAAUAUAGUGAUUCUCAUGCCUGAAUUGCACGAUUAAGAUGUCUUUAAAACAGAAAAACAGUGCAAAUAAUAAUGGGACAAAUGUUUGUUGGAUCUUAUUGGCAAUAGUUAUUUUUUCAGUCUAUCACAUAUUAUUUUGUCCACCCGUGUGAUAAUAUUAUGUAAUAUCCUAUUAAUUUAGGUCAACUUUAGACAUGUAAAUUUAAUAUGCAGUCGUG
rnacentral:misc_RNA from 1 species